rfam:Pantoea sp. At-9b, complete genome.
CAAGACGAUCCAGUUAGCGUAUUUUUUGCUCACAACUCAGGUCAUUAACCUUGAAAAAUUUGAGGGAUGACCUCAUUUAAUCUCCAGUAGCAUUUUGACCUGUAAUGGGAGGAAUCAUGCGUCUGGAUCGUCUUAC